rnacentral:lncRNA from 1 species
UAAUAAUAAUAAUAAUAAUAAUAAUAAUAAUAAUAAUAAUAAUAAUAAUAAUAAUAAUAAUAAUAAUAAUAAUAAUAAUAAUAAUAAUAAUAAUAAUAAUAAUAAUAAUAAUAAUAAUAAUAAUAAUAAUAAUAAUAAUAAUAAUAAUAAUAAUAAUAAUAAUAAUAAUAAUAAUAAUAAUAAUAAUAAUAAUAAUAAUAAUAAUAAUAAUAAUAAUAAUAAUAAUAAUAAUAAUAAUAAUAAUAAUAAUAAUAAUAAUAAUAAUAAUAAUAAUAAUAAUAAUAAUAAUAAUAAUAAUAAUAAUAAUAAUAAUAAUAAUAAUAAUAAUAAUAAUAAUAAUAAUAAUAAUAAUAAUAAUAAUAAUAAUAAUAAUAAUAAUAAUAAUAAUAAUAAUAAUAAUAAUAAUAAUAAUAAUAAUAAUAAUAAUAAUAAUAAUAAUAAUAAUAAUAAUAAUAAUAAUAAUAAUAAUAAUAAUAAUAAUAAUAAUAAUAAUAAUAAUAAUAAUAAUAAUAAUAAUAAUAAUAAUAAUAAUAAUAAUAAUAAUAAUAAUAAUAAUAAUAAUAAUAAUAAUAAUAAUAAUAAUAAUAAUAAUAAUAAUAAUAAUAAUAAUAAUAAUAAUAAUAAUAAUAAUAAUAAUAAUAAUAAUAAUAAUAAUAAUAAUAAUAAUAAUAAUAAUAAUAAUAAUAAUAAUAAUAAUAAUAAUAAUAAUAAUAAUAAUAAUAAUAAUAAUAAUAAUAAUAAUAAUAAUAAUAAUAAUAAUAAUAAUAAUAAUAAUAAUAAUAAUAAUAAUAAUAAUAAUAAUAAUAAUAAUAAUAAUAAUAAUAAUAAUAAUAAUAAUAAUAAUAAUAAUAAUAAUAAUAAUAAUAAUAAUAAUAAUAAUAAUAAUAAUAAUAAUAAUAAUAAUAAUAAUAAUAAUAAUAAUAAUAAUAAUAAUAAUAAUAAUAAUAAUAAUAAUAAUAAUAAUAAUAAUAAUAAUAAUAAUAAUAAUAAUAAUAAUAAUAAUAAUAAUAAUAAUAAUAAUAAUAAUAAUAAUAAUAAUAAUAAUAAUAAUAAUAAUAAUAAUAAUAAUAAUAAUAAUAAUAAUAAUAAUAAUAAUAAUAAUAAUAAUAAUAAUAAUAAUAAUAAUAAUAAUAAUAAUAAUAAUAAUAAUAAUAAUAAUAAUAAUAAUAAUAAUAAUAAUAAUAAUAAUAAUAAUAAUAAUAAUAAUAAUAAUAAUAAUAAUAAUAAUAAUAAUAAUAAUAAUAAUAAUAAUAAUAAUAAUAAUAAUAAUAAUAAUAAUAAUAAUAAUAAUAAUAAUAAUAAUAAUAAUAAUAAUAAUAAUAAUAAUAAUAAUAAUAAUAAUAAUAAUAAUAAUAAUAAUAAUAAUAAUAAUAAUAAUAAUAAUAAUAAUAAUAAUAAUAAUAAUAAUAAUAAUAAUAAUAAUAAUAAUAAUAAUAAUAAUAAUAAUAAUAAUAAUAAUAAUAAUAAUAAUAAUAAUAAUAAUAAUAAUAAUAAUAAUAAUAAUAAUAAUAAUAAUAAUAAUAAUAAUAAUAAUAAUAAUAAUAAUAAUAAUAAUAAUAAUAAUAAUAAUAAUAAUAAUAAUAAUAAUAAUAAUAAUAAUAAUAAUAAUAAUAAUAAUAAUAAUAAUAAUAAUAAUAAUAAUAAUAAUAAUAAUAAUAAUAAUAAUAAUAAUAAUAAUAAUAAUAAUAAUAAUAAUAAUAAUAAUAAUAAUAAUAAUAAUAAUAAUAAUAAUAAUAAUAAUAAUAAUAAUAAUAAUAAUAAUAAUAAUAAUAAUAAUAAUAAUAAUAAUAAUAAUAAUAAUAAUAAUAAUAAUAAUAAUAAUAAUAAUAAUAAUAAUAAUAAUAAUAAUAAUAAUAAUAAUAAUAAUAAUAAUAAUAAUAAUAAUAAUAAUAAUAAUAAUAAUAAUAAUAAUAAUAAUAAUAAUAAUAAUAAUAAUAAUAAUAAUAAUAAUAAUAAUAAUAAUAAUAAUAAUAAUAAUAAUAAUAAUAAUAAUAAUAAUAAUAAUAAUAAUAAUAAUAAUAAUAAUAAUAAUAAUAAUAAUAAUAAUAAUAAUAAUAAUAAUAAUAAUAAUAAUAAUAAUAAUAAUAAUAAUAAUAAUAAUAAUAAUAAUAAUAAUAAUAAUAAUAAUAAUAAUAAUAAUAAUAAUAAUAAUAAUAAUAAUAAUAAUAAUAAUAAUAAUAAUAAUAAUAAUAAUAAUAAUAAUAAUAAUAAUAAUAAUAAUAAUAAUAAUAAUAAUAAUAAUAAUAAUAAUAAUAAUAAUAAUAAUAAUAAUAAUAAUAAUAAUAAUAAUAAUAAUAAUAAUAAUAAUAAUAAUAAUAAUAAUAAUAAUAAUAAUAAUAAUAAUAAUAAUAAUAAUAAUAAUAAUAAUAAUAAUAAUAAUAAUAAUAAUAAUAAUAAUAAUAAUAAUAAUAAUAAUAAUAAUAAUAAUAAUAAUAAUAAUAAUAAUAAUAAUAAUAAUAAUAAUAAUAAUAAUAAUAAUAAUAAUAAUAAUAAUAAUAAUAAUAAUAAUAAUAAUAAUAAUAAUAAUAAUAAUAAUAAUAAUAAUAAUAAUAAUAAUAAUAAUAAUAAUAAUAAUAAUAAUAAUAAUAAUAAUAAUAAUAAUAAUAAUAAUAAUAAUAAUAAUAAUAAUAAUAAUAAUAAUAAUAAUAAUAAUAAUAAUAAUAAUAAUAAUAAUAAUAAUAAUAAUAAUAAUAAUAAUAAUAAUAAUAAUAAUAAUAAUAAUAAUAAUAAUAAUAAUAAUAAUAAUAAUAAUAAUAAUAAUAAUAAUAAUAAUAAUAAUAAUAAUAAUAAUAAUAAUAAUAAUAAUAAUAAUAAUAAUAAUAAUAAUAAUAAUAAUAAUAAUAAUAAUAAUAAUAAUAAUAAUAAUAAUAAUAAUAAUAAUAAUAAUAAUAAUAAUAAUAAUAAUAAUAAUAAUAAUAAUAAUAAUAAUAAUAAUAAUAAUAAUAAUAAUAAUAAUAAUAAUAAUAAUAAUAAUAAUAAUAAUAAUAAUAAUAAUAAUAAUAAUAAUAAUAAUAAUAAUAAUAAUAAUAAUAAUAAUAAUAAUAAUAAUAAUAAUAAUAAUAAUAAUAAUAAUAAUAAUAAUAAUAAUAAUAAUAAUAAUAAUAAUAAUAAUAAUAAUAAUAAUAAUAAUAAUAAUAAUAAUAAUAAUAAUAAUAAUAAUAAUAAUAAUAAUAAUAAUAAUAAUAAUAAUAAUAAUAAUAAUAAUAAUAAUAAUAAUAAUAAUAAUAAUAAUAAUAAUAAUAAUAAUAAUAAUAAUAAUAAUAAUAAUAAUAAUAAUAAUAAUAAUAAUAAUAAUAAUAAUAAUAAUAAUAAUAAUAAUAAUAAUAAUAAUAAUAAUAAUAAUAAUAAUAAUAAUAAUAAUAAUAAUAAUAAUAAUAAUAAUAAUAAUAAUAAUAAUAAUAAUAAUAAUAAUAAUAAUAAUAAUAAUAAUAAUAAUAAUAAUAAUAAUAAUAAUAAUAAUAAUAAUAAUAAUAAUAAUAAUAAUAAUAAUAAUAAUAAUAAUAAUAAUAAUAAUAAUAAUAAUAAUAAUAAUAAUAAUAAUAAUAAUAAUAAUAAUAAUAAUAAUAAUAAUAAUAAUAAUAAUAAUAAUAAUAAUAAUAAUAAUAAUAAUAAUAAUAAUAAUAAUAAUAAUAAUAAUAAUAAUAAUAAUAAUAAUAAUAAUAAUAAUAAUAAUAAUAAUAAUAAUAAUAAUAAUAAUAAUAAUAAUAAUAAUAAUAAUAAUAAUAAUAAUAAUAAUAAUAAUAAUAAUAAUAAUAAUAAUAAUAAUAAUAAUAAUAAUAAUAAUAAUAAUAAUAAUAAUAAUAAUAAUAAUAAUAAUAAUAAUAAUAAUAAUAAUAAUAAUAAUAAUAAUAAUAAUAAUAAUAAUAAUAAUAAUAAUAAUAAUAAUAAUAAUAAUAAUAAUAAUAAUAAUAAUAAUAAUAAUAAUAAUAAUAAUAAUAAUAAUAAUAAUAAUAAUAAUAAUAAUAAUAAUAAUAAUAAUAAUAAUAAUAAUAAUAAUAAUAAUAAUAAUAAUAAUAAUAAUAAUAAUAAUAAUAAUAAUAAUAAUAAUAAUAAUAAUAAUAAUAAUAAUAAUAAUAAUAAUAAUAAUAAUAAUAAUAAUAAUAAUAAUAAUAAUAAUAAUAAUAAUAAUAAUAAUAAUAAUAAUAAUAAUAAUAAUAAUAAUAAUAAUAAUAAUAAUAAUAAUAAUAAUAAUAAUAAUAAUAAUAAUAAUAAUAAUAAUAAUAAUAAUAAUAAUAAUAAUAAUAAUAAUAAUAAUAAUAAUAAUAAUAAUAAUAAUAAUAAUAAUAAUAAUAAUAAUAAUAAUAAUAAUAAUAAUAAUAAUAAUAAUAAUAAUAAUAAUAAUAAUAAUAAUAAUAAUAAUAAUAAUAAUAAUAAUAAUAAUAAUAAUAAUAAUAAUAAUAAUAAUAAUAAUAAUAAUAAUAAUAAUAAUAAUAAUAAUAAUAAUAAUAAUAAUAAUAAUAAUAAUAAUAAUAAUAAUAAUAAUAAUAAUAAUAAUAAUAAUAAUAAUAAUAAUAAUAAUAAUAAUAAUAAUAAUAAUAAUAAUAAUAAUAAUAAUAAUAAUAAUAAUAAUAAUAAUAAUAAUAAUAAUAAUAAUAAUAAUAAUAAUAAUAAUAAUAAUAAUAAUAAUAAUAAUAAUAAUAAUAAUAAUAAUAAUAAUAAUAAUAAUAAUAAUAAUAAUAAUAAUAAUAAUAAUAAUAAUAAUAAUAAUAAUAAUAAUAAUAAUAAUAAUAAUAAUAAUAAUAAUAAUAAUAAUAAUAAUAAUAAUAAUAAUAAUAAUAAUAAUAAUAAUAAUAAUAAUAAUAAUAAUAAUAAUAAUAAUAAUAAUAAUAAUAAUAAUAAUAAUAAUAAUAAUAAUAAUAAUAAUAAUAAUAAUAAUAAUAAUAAUAAUAAUAAUAAUAAUAAUAAUAAUAAUAAUAAUAAUAAUAAUAAUAAUAAUAAUAAUAAUAAUAAUAAUAAUAAUAAUAAUAAUAAUAAUAAUAAUAAUAAUAAUAAUAAUAAUAAUAAUAAUAAUAAUAAUAAUAAUAAUAAUAAUAAUAAUAAUAAUAAUAAUAAUAAUAAUAAUAAUAAUAAUAAUAAUAAUAAUAAUAAUAAUAAUAAUAAUAAUAAUAAUAAUAAUAAUAAUAAUAAUAAUAAUAAUAAUAAUAAUAAUAAUAAUAAUAAUAAUAAUAAUAAUAAUAAUAAUAAUAAUAAUAAUAAUAAUAAUAAUAAUAAUAAUAAUAAUAAUAAUAAUAAUAAUAAUAAUAAUAAUAAUAAUAAUAAUAAUAAUAAUAAUAAUAAUAAUAAUAAUAAUAAUAAUAAUAAUAAUAAUAAUAAUAAUAAUAAUAAUAAUAAUAAUAAUAAUAAUAAUAAUAAUAAUAAUAAUAAUAAUAAUAAUAAUAAUAAUAAUAAUAAUAAUAAUAAUAAUAAUAAUAAUAAUAAUAAUAAUAAUAAUAAUAAUAAUAAUAAUAAUAAUAAUAAUAAUAAUAAUAAUAAUAAUAAUAAUAAUAAUAAUAAUAAUAAUAAUAAUAAUAAUAAUAAUAAUAAUAAUAAUAAUAAUAAUAAUAAUAAUAAUAAUAAUAAUAAUAAUAAUAAUAAUAAUAAUAAUAAUAAUAAUAAUAAUAAUAAUAAUAAUAAUAAUAAUAAUAAUAAUAAUAAUAAUAAUAAUAAUAAUAAUAAUAAUAAUAAUAAUAAUAAUAAUAAUAAUAAUAAUAAUAAUAAUAAUAAUAAUAAUAAUAAUAAUAAUAAUAAUAAUAAUAAUAAUAAUAAUAAUAAUAAUAAUAAUAAUAAUAAUAAUAAUAAUAAUAAUAAUAAUAAUAAUAAUAAUAAUAAUAAUAAUAAUAAUAAUAAUAAUAAUAAUAAUAAUAAUAAUAAUAAUAAUAAUAAUAAUAAUAAUAAUAAUAAUAAUAAUAAUAAUAAUAAUAAUAAUAAUAAUAAUAAUAAUAAUAAUAAUAAUAAUAAUAAUAAUAAUAAUAAUAAUAAUAAUAAUAAUAAUAAUAAUAAUAAUAAUAAUAAUAAUAAUAAUAAUAAUAAUAAUAAUAAUAAUAAUAAUAAUAAUAAUAAUAAUAAUAAUAAUAAUAAUAAUAAUAAUAAUAAUAAUAAUAAUAAUAAUAAUAAUAAUAAUAAUAAUAAUAAUAAUAAUAAUAAUAAUAAUAAUAAUAAUAAUAAUAAUAAUAAUAAUAAUAAUAAUAAUAAUAAUAAUAAUAAUAAUAAUAAUAAUAAUAAUAAUAAUAAUAAUAAUAAUAAUAAUAAUAAUAAUAAUAAUAAUAAUAAUAAUAAUAAUAAUAAUAAUAAUAAUAAUAAUAAUAAUAAUAAUAAUAAUAAUAAUAAUAAUAAUAAUAAUAAUAAUAAUAAUAAUAAUAAUAAUAAUAAUAAUAAUAAUAAUAAUAAUAAUAAUAAUAAUAAUAAUAAUAAUAAUAAUAAUAAUAAUAAUAAUAAUAAUAAUAAUAAUAAUAAUAAUAAUAAUAAUAAUAAUAAUAAUAAUAAUAAUAAUAAUAAUAAUAAUAAUAAUAAUAAUAAUAAUAAUAAUAAUAAUAAUAAUAAUAAUAAUAAUAAUAAUAAUAAUAAUAAUAAUAAUAAUAAUAAUAAUAAUAAUAAUAAUAAUAAUAAUAAUAAUAAUAAUAAUAAUAAUAAUAAUAAUAAUAAUAAUAAUAAUAAUAAUAAUAAUAAUAAUAAUAAUAAUAAUAAUAAUAAUAAUAAUAAUAAUAAUAAUAAUAAUAAUAAUAAUAAUAAUAAUAAUAAUAAUAAUAAUAAUAAUAAUAAUAAUAAUAAUAAUAAUAAUAAUAAUAAUAAUAAUAAUAAUAAUAAUAAUAAUAAUAAUAAUAAUAAUAAUAAUAAUAAUAAUAAUAAUAAUAAUAAUAAUAAUAAUAAUAAUAAUAAUAAUAAUAAUAAUAAUAAUAAUAAUAAUAAUAAUAAUAAUAAUAAUAAUAAUAAUAAUAAUAAUAAUAAUAAUAAUAAUAAUAAUAAUAAUAAUAAUAAUAAUAAUAAUAAUAAUAAUAAUAAUAAUAAUAAUAAUAAUAAUAAUAAUAAUAAUAAUAAUAAUAAUAAUAAUAAUAAUAAUAAUAAUAAUAAUAAUAAUAAUAAUAAUAAUAAUAAUAAUAAUAAUAAUAAUAAUAAUAAUAAUAAUAAUAAUAAUAAUAAUAAUAAUAAUAAUAAUAAUAAUAAUAAUAAUAAUAAUAAUAAUAAUAAUAAUAAUAAUAAUAAUAAUAAUAAUAAUAAUAAUAAUAAUAAUAAUAAUAAUAAUAAUAAUAAUAAUAAUAAUAAUAAUAAUAAUAAUAAUAAUAAUAAUAAUAAUAAUAAUAAUAAUAAUAAUAAUAAUAAUAAUAAUAAUAAUAAUAAUAAUAAUAAUAAUAAUAAUAAUAAUAAUAAUAAUAAUAAUAAUAAUAAUAAUAAUAAUAAUAAUAAUAAUAAUAAUAAUAAUAAUAAUAAUAAUAAUAAUAAUAAUAAUAAUAAUAAUAAUAAUAAUAAUAAUAAUAAUAAUAAUAAUAAUAAUAAUAAUAAUAAUAAUAAUAAUAAUAAUAAUAAUAAUAAUAAUAAUAAUAAUAAUAAUAAUAAUAAUAAUAAUAAUAAUAAUAAUAAUAAUAAUAAUAAUAAUAAUAAUAAUAAUAAUAAUAAUAAUAAUAAUAAUAAUAAUAAUAAUAAUAAUAAUAAUAAUAAUAAUAAUAAUAAUAAUAAUAAUAAUAAUAAUAAUAAUAAUAAUAAUAAUAAUAAUAAUAAUAAUAAUAAUAAUAAUAAUAAUAAUAAUAAUAAUAAUAAUAAUAAUAAUAAUAAUAAUAAUAAUAAUAAUAAUAAUAAUAAUAAUAAUAAUAAUAAUAAUAAUAAUAAUAAUAAUAAUAAUAAUAAUAAUAAUAAUAAUAAUAAUAAUAAUAAUAAUAAUAAUAAUAAUAAUAAUAAUAAUAAUAAUAAUAAUAAUAAUAAUAAUAAUAAUAAUAAUAAUAAUAAUAAUAAUAAUAAUAAUAAUAAUAAUAAUAAUAAUAAUAAUAAUAAUAAUAAUAAUAAUAAUAAUAAUAAUAAUAAUAAUAAUAAUAAUAAUAAUAAUAAUAAUAAUAAUAAUAAUAAUAAUAAUAAUAAUAAUAAUAAUAAUAAUAAUAAUAAUAAUAAUAAUAAUAAUAAUAAUAAUAAUAAUAAUAAUAAUAAUAAUAAUAAUAAUAAUAAUAAUAAUAAUAAUAAUAAUAAUAAUAAUAAUAAUAAUAAUAAUAAUAAUAAUAAUAAUAAUAAUAAUAAUAAUAAUAAUAAUAAUAAUAAUAAUAAUAAUAAUAAUAAUAAUAAUAAUAAUAAUAAUAAUAAUAAUAAUAAUAAUAAUAAUAAUAAUAAUAAUAAUAAUAAUAAUAAUAAUAAUAAUAAUAAUAAUAAUAAUAAUAAUAAUAAUAAUAAUAAUAAUAAUAAUAAUAAUAAUAAUAAUAAUAAUAAUAAUAAUAAUAAUAAUAAUAAUAAUAAUAAUAAUAAUAAUAAUAAUAAUAAUAAUAAUAAUAAUAAUAAUAAUAAUAAUAAUAAUAAUAAUAAUAAUAAUAAUAAUAAUAAUAAUAAUAAUAAUAAUAAUAAUAAUAAUAAUAAUAAUAAUAAUAAUAAUAAUAAUAAUAAUAAUAAUAAUAAUAAUAAUAAUAAUAAUAAUAAUAAUAAUAAUAAUAAUAAUAAUAAUAAUAAUAAUAAUAAUAAUAAUAAUAAUAAUAAUAAUAAUAAUAAUAAUAAUAAUAAUAAUAAUAAUAAUAAUAAUAAUAAUAAUAAUAAUAAUAAUAAUAAUAAUAAUAAUAAUAAUAAUAAUAAUAAUAAUAAUAAUAAUAAUAAUAAUAAUAAUAAUAAUAAUAAUAAUAAUAAUAAUAAUAAUAAUAAUAAUAAUAAUAAUAAUAAUAAUAAUAAUAAUAAUAAUAAUAAUAAUAAUAAUAAUAAUAAUAAUAAUAAUAAUAAUAAUAAUAAUAAUAAUAAUAAUAAUAAUAAUAAUAAUAAUAAUAAUAAUAAUAAUAAUAAUAAUAAUAAUAAUAAUAAUAAUAAUAAUAAUAAUAAUAAUAAUAAUAAUAAUAAUAAUAAUAAUAAUAAUAAUAAUAAUAAUAAUAAUAAUAAUAAUAAUAAUAAUAAUAAUAAUAAUAAUAAUAAUAAUAAUAAUAAUAAUAAUAAUAAUAAUAAUAAUAAUAAUAAUAAUAAUAAUAAUAAUAAUAAUAAUAAUAAUAAUAAUAAUAAUAAUAAUAAUAAUAAUAAUAAUAAUAAUAAUAAUAAUAAUAAUAAUAAUAAUAAUAAUAAUAAUAAUAAUAAUAAUAAUAAUAAUAAUAAUAAUAAUAAUAAUAAUAAUAAUAAUAAUAAUAAUAAUAAUAAUAAUAAUAAUAAUAAUAAUAAUAAUAAUAAUAAUAAUAAUAAUAAUAAUAAUAAUAAUAAUAAUAAUAAUAAUAAUAAUAAUAAUAAUAAUAAUAAUAAUAAUAAUAAUAAUAAUAAUAAUAAUAAUAAUAAUAAUAAUAAUAAUAAUAAUAAUAAUAAUAAUAAUAAUAAUAAUAAUAAUAAUAAUAAUAAUAAUAAUAAUAAUAAUAAUAAUAAUAAUAAUAAUAAUAAUAAUAAUAAUAAUAAUAAUAAUAAUAAUAAUAAUAAUAAUAAUAAUAAUAAUAAUAAUAAUAAUAAUAAUAAUAAUAAUAAUAAUAAUAAUAAUAAUAAUAAUAAUAAUAAUAAUAAUAAUAAUAAUAAUAAUAAUAAUAAUAAUAAUAAUAAUAAUAAUAAUAAUAAUAAUAAUAAUAAUAAUAAUAAUAAUAAUAAUAAUAAUAAUAAUAAUAAUAAUAAUAAUAAUAAUAAUAAUAAUAAUAAUAAUAAUAAUAAUAAUAAUAAUAAUAAUAAUAAUAAUAAUAAUAAUAAUAAUAAUAAUAAUAAUAAUAAUAAUAAUAAUAAUAAUAAUAAUAAUAAUAAUAAUAAUAAUAAUAAUAAUAAUAAUAAUAAUAAUAAUAAUAAUAAUAAUAAUAAUAAUAAUAAUAAUAAUAAUAAUAAUAAUAAUAAUAAUAAUAAUAAUAAUAAUAAUAAUAAUAAUAAUAAUAAUAAUAAUAAUAAUAAUAAUAAUAAUAAUAAUAAUAAUAAUAAUAAUAAUAAUAAUAAUAAUAAUAAUAAUAAUAAUAAUAAUAAUAAUAAUAAUAAUAAUAAUAAUAAUAAUAAUAAUAAUAAUAAUAAUAAUAAUAAUAAUAAUAAUAAUAAUAAUAAUAAUAAUAAUAAUAAUAAUAAUAAUAAUAAUAAUAAUAAUAAUAAUAAUAAUAAUAAUAAUAAUAAUAAUAAUAAUAAUAAUAAUAAUAAUAAUAAUAAUAAUAAUAAUAAUAAUAAUAAUAAUAAUAAUAAUAAUAAUAAUAAUAAUAAUAAUAAUAAUAAUAAUAAUAAUAAUAAUAAUAAUAAUAAUAAUAAUAAUAAUAAUAAUAAUAAUAAUAAUAAUAAUAAUAAUAAUAAUAAUAAUAAUAAUAAUAAUAAUAAUAAUAAUAAUAAUAAUAAUAAUAAUAAUAAUAAUAAUAAUAAUAAUAAUAAUAAUAAUAAUAAUAAUAAUAAUAAUAAUAAUAAUAAUAAUAAUAAAUGAAAGGGAAAUUCAAGUAACAGAGGGGGAAAAUAAAGAUAAAAGAAAUAUGGUGAUAUCUUGGGGGAUUUAUUUAAAUUAAUUGAUUAAAGUUUUCAAGCAAAUAUAAAUAAAUAAGUUCGAAUGGAUAAUUACAAAGAGAAGAGUGAGAAUUGUGCCCAUUUUGGCCCAUUAAAAAAGUAUAAUUAACAAAAAUACAAACCCUUUUAGAAGGAAUUACACUCUCUCCCACUUUUUAAAUUCUUUUUUAACUACCUUACUCUUUCUCCCUAUUAAUAUACAUAACAUAGCCGACAUAUACAUAGCAUUCUGUAUAUAUGUUGAGAUUUUUGUAAUAUGUUUAGGAAGUUGGUAUUUUUUGUAAUAUUGAAAACAUAAGUUGUGUAUUUGUGUAAUUUUUAGAUUAAAAAUGGGAAAAGGACAUGGGCUGACCUUUUUUAAAAAGAAUGACCACAAUUUGAAAAGAUGGACAACUGUAGCCAGUCGGCUAUAUUUAAUUCUCUUUUUUAACUAUUUGGCCCAAUUGGGCACAUGCAGUCUCUAUACUCAAUUGAUAUACUUUUAUAUCAAAUUGAUACACUUUUAUACAAUAUUGAUACACUUUUUUAAAAAAAAAAAAAAAAAAAAAUUCUAUGUAAGCACAUGCAGUCCCUAUACCCAAUUAAUACUCUUUUAUACCAUAUUAAUACACUUUUUACUACUUUGAUACACUUGCAUUGUCCAUAUACUCAAUUUAUACUCUCUUAUACUAGAUUAAUACGUUUUUAGAAUGCAUGUAGAAACUAUAUAGAAUCGUAUAAAAUAUGUAUCUAAAUAAUAAUUGUAGUUAAAAAUUAUAUAGAAUAUGUAUAAAAAUGAUAUAAUUAUUAUAUAGAAUAUGUAUAUGUAUAGAAACUGUAUCAUUAUUAUAUAGCCUACAAGAAAUUGUUCCCAGUAGUUACUACCAACGAAGCAAUGUAUUUUUUAUUAAAAGUAUGUGAAGUAAUGAAUACAGAGAGACCAAUUUCUAUUGCAUUCAAAUGAUUGAUUUAGUUGAAAAAUAUCCAAUGUGCAAACUAUGUAAAGCAGAGAAUAAAAAUGCUAUUGAUCAAUUGGUUUCUAAUGCGGACAAAGUUAUAAUUAGUUCAAUGCAAUAAUUUUCUCUUAUUAAGUAGUAACUAAGUAAAUUAUUUUCAUUUCCUCCUAUAAGUGUAUGGUGUGACGACUUUUCCAUUCAAACAAUAUGGGGAGUAUCUAUUACAAUUAGCAUUACUAAUGAUGCCCACUCCCCACACACACCAAAUGGCCAUUCGGUUGGAAUUAUUUUCCCUAGUGGCUAUUUACCGGGGUUUAGAAUUUAGGUGUUAGUUUUGUAAAAUUAUUUUAGUUUUAAGUGUUAUUUUGUCCUUUCCCCUUAAAAAAAUCUGUCCAAUUUGGACCAAUUCCAUGGGCUUUAGCCCAUUUUAUGCCCCUAUAUAUCUGUUGUAUAUCGGCAGCUUAUUUCCUGCGUUUUUGGGUAUACCGCUGUGUAUAUGGUGUAUAUCAGUGCGGUAAGCUGCGUAUUUUGACUCCAUUUAUCAUCACGAACCACGUUAUAACGUGCAGCUGCUGCCUCCUAAUGUAUAUCAGCUGUAUACAAUUGUAUUCCAGUGUCGUUUCUUGCACAUUAGUCCCUUUCGGACUUGACAUGGGUCUUGAUUCUAUGGAAGUUGGGUUUAGCCCAACCGAAUGCGAGAAAUGGGAGUCCGAGGACUCAUAAGGGAGAGUUCAUGCAAUAAAGAGAAGAUAAAGAUUAGCUACUCAAGUUUCAAAGAAGAAAAGACAUGGUUAAACAUGAUACUUUUAAGCUCAUAGUUAACAAAAAAAGGAAUGUUAAAAUAACCAUGAAACUUGGAACAUCUUAUUCAUUACUUGUAGCUACCAAAAUGUAAGAAGAGCAAGGUUUCAUCUAGAUUUGGGUUGGCAUUUUCAAACAAUGUACACUUAAAAGGACAAAACUUGUCACUUUUAUUUCAAAAUCUUUUGGUCAUAUAAUCAAACACACGCAAAUACCCCACAUAUUUGAAGUCAAAUAAUUCAAAGACAGGGAAAACACAGGCAAGUGAGUCUUUAUUAAACAUUAAUUGUAAAAAAAAAAUAUUUGAUUACAAACUAAAUUCGAGACCCUUUUGACUGAAGAAGAAAGGCGUGGUGAUAAUGAUAGCUUUGGGUAAGUAAUUUAUGGAAGAAGAAAGGGCACAUAGCGAAAUUGGAAAAUAAAAUCAUAGGGUGUUUUGGUGCCUACAGAGGUACCUCUCUCGCGCAAUACUUUUAGUCAAAAAAAUCUAACUAAAUAGUCCAAAGAAGGUAGAGCAUAACACUUUAACGAUCUGAACUUUCAUUAACGAAAGAAACUGUCAAAUGAAUACAGAGUUAGUGGAAUUCUGUAAGACAGAAAUUGAUAAUCUUUUACAAAAGGGUCUUAUAAAACCCUCAAAAUCUCCUUGGUCUUGUACGGCUUUUUAUGUCAAUAAUGCUGCUGAAAAUGAAAGAGGAGUACCUCGACUAGUUAUAAACUAUAAACCUCUGAAUAAAGUUUUAAAAUGGAUUCGAUACCCUAUACCGAAUAAAAAGGACUUACUUUCUAGAUUAUAUGAUGCUAAUAUAUUUUCUAAAUUUGAUUUAACAUCUGGAUAUUGGCAUAUUCAAAUUGAUAAAAUCAUACUUAUAGAACUGCUUUUAAUGUCUCUUUUGGACAGUAUGAAUGGAAUGUCAUGCUAUUUGGUUUAAAGAAUGCUCCUUUCGAAUUUCAAAAGAUUAUGAAUGAUAUUUUUAAUCCCUAUAUGGACUUUAUCAUUGUCUAUAUUGAUGAUAUUUUAGUAUUUUCAAAAACCCUUAAGUCUCAUUUUAAACAUUUGUAUAUGUUUAAACAAAUAAUUAUUCAAAACGGCUUAGUCAUCUCUAAACCAAAGAUAAGUUUAUUUCAGACAAAUAUUAGAUUUUUAGGACAUAAUAUUUCUCAAGGUUCUAUUGAACCUAUACAACGAGUUCUAGAAUUUGCUAAAAAAUUCCCUGAUGUUAUUACUGAUAAAAAACAGCUUCAAAGGUUCCUCGGUAGUCUUAACUAUAUUUCCCCUUUUUACAAGAAUUUGUCUAGAGACUUAGCCCCUUUAUAUGAUAGACUAAAAAAGGAUCACAAAACUCCUUGGACUCAAGCACACACUGAUUUAGUAAAAUUAAUAAAAAAUAGAGUUCAAACCCUUCCUUGUACUUCUCUUGCAAACCCUAACUGGUUAAAAAUCGUUGAAACUGACGCUUCAAAUAUUGGAUAUGGUGGAAUACUUAAACAAGUUAAUCCCCAUACGAAGACCAAAUGUUUGAUUUGAUUGUAUUCUGGUAAGUGGACAGAAAGUCAGAAAAAAUACGCCACGGUAGCCCAUGAAAUGUUAACUAUUGUAAAAUCCGUUUUAAAAUCCAAGAUGAUUUGUAUAACCAAAAAUUUAUAAUUAGAAUUGAUGCUCAAUCCGUCAAAUUUAUGUUUGAUAAAGACUUCAAACAUGAUGCCUCUAAAUUAAUAUUUGUGCGGUGGCACGCUCAAUUAGCCCCUUUUGAUUAUGAAAUACAAUAUAAAAAGGAUAGUGAAAAUUCUUUGCCUGAUUUUCUAUCUCGAGAAUAUCUAACAUGAAUUUUUAUAGAUACUUCCUCUCUGAGAAAACUAUAAUAACUAUUAUCAAAUGCAUUCCUCUAAACGAAGAUAUUCAUUUUCUUAUCUUAGAAACUCUAAUUCGUAGCCUAAUAGAAGAAGAAAAUUUUGUUCACCACGACGAAUUCCUUGAAAAAGAAAUUUAUUGGUUUGAUAUUGACUUAAGUGAUUAAUGUUUACAGAUAUAAUGAAGUUCUUUCUACACUUCUUCUCUGCAAAGUUCUUAAUCACCUUUAUAAAAGCAGUUCCUCUAAAUAUGGAUUUACACAUGCUCAUACUACGGAAAGUCAUUGAGGACCUUAUCACAAAGGACACACUUUAUGAAGAUCUCUCUGAAUAUAUGUCAUGGUAUGCUGAUCAAAUUCAUAAUUAUUAAUGCAGUAUGGAUCCUCCUUGGCAACUCGCCAAAGGUAGAGGACGAGGUGGAAGAAAUCAAAACUCUUCAUAUCAAGGAGGACGAACAAACCCUUCAUAUUUUGAUCGAAGAAAUUCUGCAUAUAGCUCUGCAAGUUCUAAUUUCCCUAUAUUGCAGCAAAGAAAUAGAACUUUAAUUAAUUCAAAAAUUCCUCGAGAUGAAUCUUCAUCAUCCAAAACUCUGAAUAUUGGUUCUUCUGUACAUUUAGAAGACAUUCCUGAAAAUCAUCCAUUAUACAAACAACUGCAAUCUUAUCUAUCAGAUCAACAAAAAACUGCAGAUACUUUUGCGUCAAUAGUUCAAGAAAAUUCUGAAGAUAAGCCUUCAUAUGAAAAACUGGAUGCUAGAGAACUUAUAUUAUAUAUUGAAAAUCAGCAUAUUCCCGGACAAGAAAAUUCUGAAGAAGCAUGGAGACUACUCAAAAANNNNNNNNNNNNNNNNNNNNNNNNNNNNNNNNNNNNNNNNNNNNNNNNNNNNNNNNNNNNNNNNNNNNNNNNNNNNNNNNNNNNNNNNNNNNNNNNNNNNNNNNNNNNNNNNNNNNNNNNNNNNNNNNNNNNNNNNNNNNNNNNNNNNNNNNNNNNNNNNNNNNNNNNNNNNNNNNNNNNNNNNNNNNNNNNNNNNNNNNNNNNNNNNNNNNNNNNNNNNNNNNNNNNNNNNNNNNNNNNNNNNNNNNNNNNNNNNNNNNNNNNNNNNNNNNNNNNNNNNNNNNNNNNNNNNNNNNNNNNNNNNNNNNNNNNNNNNNNNNNNNNNNNNNNNNNNNNNNNNNNNNNNNNNNNNNNNNNNNNNNNNNNNNNNNNNNNNNNNNNNNNNNNNNNNNNNNNNNNNNNNNNNNNNNNNNNNNNNNNNNNNNNNNNNNNNNNNNNNNNNNNNNNNNNNNNNNNNNNNNNNNNNNNNNNNNNNNNNNNNNNNNNNNNNNNNNNNNNNNNNNNNNNNNNNNNNNNNNNNNNNNNNNNNNNNNNNNNNNNNNNNNNNNNNNNNNNNNNNNNNNNNNNNNNNNNNNNNNNNNNNNNNNNNNNNNNNNNNNNNNNNNNNNNNNNNNNNNNNNNNNNNNNNNNNNNNNNNNNNNNNNNNNNNNNNNNNNNNNNNNNNNNNNNNNNNNNNNNNNNNNNNNNNNNNNNNNNNNNNNNNNNNNNNNNNNNNNNNNNNNNNNNNNNNNNNNNNNNNNNNNNNNNNNNNNNNNNNNNNNNNNNNNNNNNNNNNNNNNNNNNNNNNNNNNNNNNNNNNNNNNNNNNNNNNNNNNNNNNNNNNNNNNNNNNNNNNNNNNNNNNNNNNNNNNNNNNNNNNNNNNNNNNNNNNNNNNNNNNNNNNNNNNNNNNNNNNNNNNNNNNNNNNNNNNNNNNNNNNNNNNNNNNNNNNNNNNNNNNNNNNNNNNNNNNNNNNNNNNNNNNNNNNNNNNNNNNNNNNNNNNNNNNNNNNNNNNNNNNNNNNNNNNNNNNNNNNNNNNNNNNNNNNNNNNNNNNNNNNNNNNNNNNNNNNNNNNNNNNNNNNNNNNNNNNNNNNNNNNNNNNNNNNNNNNNNNNNNNNNNNNNNNNNNNNNNNNNNNNNNNNNNNNNNNNNNNNNNNNNNNNNNNNNNNNNNNNNNNNNNNNNNNNNNNNNNNNNNNNNNNNNNNNNNNNNNNNNNNNNNNNNNNNNNNNNNNNNNNNNNNNNNNNNNNNNNNNNNNNNNNNNNNNNNNNNNNNNNNNNNNNNNNNNNNNNNNNNNNNNNNNNNNNNNNNNNNNNNNNNNNNNNNNNNNNNNNNNNNNNNNNNNNNNNNNNNNNNNNNNNNNNNNNNNNNNNNNNNNNNNNNNNNNNNNNNNNNNNNNNNNNNNNNNNNNNNNNNNNNNNNNNNNNNNNNNNNNNNNNNNNNNNNNNNNNNNNNNNNNNNNNNNNNNNNNNNNNNNNNNNNNNNNNNNNNNNNNNNNNNNNNNNNNNNNNNNNNNNNNNNNNNNNNNNNNNNNNNNNNNNNNNNNNNNNNNNNNNNNNNNNNNNNNNNNNNNNNNNNNNNNNNNNNNNNNNNNNNNNNNNNNNNNNAAGGGCGAAUUUCCGCACCAUUAGAACUUCUAGACACACAGGUUCAACAUAAGGUUAUGAAAUCUCUGACAGGCCCCAUGUUUGGGUAAAAGAGUCCAUACAGUCAUAAAACUACUUAAGAUUCUUUUCUAUUUGGUUGGUGCUUUGGUUCGGUCUUCUGACUUAGGCUUAAUCCGAUAUUAUUAUAUGGUCUGGUAGGCUGAGUGGCAUACCCCAGCCUAAGAGAUCCUGUUAUUAUUAUUACUAUUAUUAUUAUUAUUAUUAUUAUUAUUAUUAUUGUCAUUAUUAUUAUUAUUGUCAUUAUUAUUAUGCUAAUAUGCUCAUGAAAUGGUAAAGUUUUUGCAUAUAGUUUUGAAUUUCUUUUAUGUUAGCUGUAUCAACACCACAAUGCUUCUCCUUCCGGCUAUGAAAUUUUUUUUAACCUAUUGUGACUCGCUGUCUCAGGUUACUGCUCCGUUUUUUCUCUGUUAAGGCUAAAGAUCGCAACCUUUAUUUUUUACCAGCAUAAAAGAUUUGGAAAGGAUAUAUGAAACAAACUUUUUAUUUCUUGAACAUAUUAUAACAUAGGAAAGAUCUUCUCUCAUUCAAAAUCGUGCAUGAGGCUUUUAUCUCACACGGCUCCUAAGUGAUAAAAGAAAGAAGAACUCAUUUUCUUUCCUUUUUGAUUAUCUUCCUUGCGUAUGUAUAAGACCGAAUUCAUUCAAUUUCUAAAAAGGAUUACUAAUCCUUAACUUUUCGAGGAAUCCUUCAUCAGUGGUUGUGAAUGAUUGAUUUUUGCAAUCUUUUUGACCUUGGUUUCGUAGGAGUAAGUCAGAAAGAUCUGAAUGUCUUUGUCGAGUUGGUUGGCAUCAUUUGCUCCUUUCUAUUUUUUCAUUGUCUGCCUCCGCCCGAACAGAUACGCACUAACCCACCUAAAAUAAAUGAAUUGUUUAUAUUUAUUAUCAUGAGUGGUACAACCACAAUUACAAAAACUUAGAAGAAAAAUUUGGGAAACCAUAAUAAUUAUAAGAAGAAUUAAUGAAGCUUUAAUAAAUUUGAGAAACUAUGAUAGAGAAAUAUAUCUUUUAAGAAAGAAUAUUUCGAAUAAUCUUGUGAAAUCUAGAAUUAACGAAGUAGAGAAGCUACUACUUAGAGCACAAGAUAGAGAUCAAGCUUUAAAAAAUACAGGUUUAUCUGUUAAAAAGAUCUAAGGCUAAGUUAAAAAAAUACAUACUUUGGACUGCCUAAUGAGUUAUUAUACUAUUUUCUUAAAUGAAAAAACAUUAAUUACUAUUUUAAAAGUAAUAAAAUGAAAUAAAGAUUUAUAACAAAUUUUUUUGAAAUAAUUAUAGAUUAUCUUGUUCAAGAACAAUGGUUUAUACAUGACUAUUCAUAUGUAGAUACUGUUGGUGGUCCAUACUAUUGGUAUGAUGAUGGUUAUUUCACUGAUUAAGUGAAUAAAAAUUCCUUACUAUUGGUAUGAUGAUGGUUACUUCACUGAUUAAUUUAUUUCACUGAUUAAAUGAAUAAAGAUUCCGCAUGCACAUCCUGUUUGCAAACAACUUCAUUUUAUUAUUACUAUGAGACAGUCAAUUCCCUCUUUGAAGGUAGAUUUAACCAUUAUUUGGAUUCCUCCCUGAUGAACAUAAUUUAUUUUUUUUUUCGAUUUCUUUCUGGGAUUUUUGUUAUUCUUAUUCUUAUUCUUAUCCUCAUCAUCAUGUCUCACUAGGUUGGGGUAUGCCGCUCAGCCUGCCAAACCAUGUAACAAUAUCGAAUUACGCCAAAGUCGAAAAACCGAACCAAAGCACCAACCGAAAUAUAAAAGAAUUUCAAGUAGUUUAAUGAUUGUAUGGAAUCUUUUACCCAAACAAGGGGCCUGUCAGAGAUUUAAUAACCUUAUGUUAAACCCAUAUGUCUAGAAGUUCUAAUUGUGCAAAAGUCGCCCUUUUCACAUCAGUACAAUAGGCUAAAGAGGCACAACUUACUAGAUGUAGUCACUGAAACAAAGCUAACAUAAGUUUGUUAAACUCGACUGUACCACUAUUUCGGAACCAAGUUAAGAAACUAUAAAAAAUUCCUUCAUAUUUUGAUAGAGUCUGGAUCUUCAACAUAGAUAUAAAAUGCCUUUUAGCCAGACAUAGUCAUGGCUAGACAAGGGAAGAAGUUGUGUUAAAUGCACACAAAUAAGAAAGUAAUAUGUACCUUAAUAGCCGGAAGCAAGGCCAGAACAGUAAUAAACGGUGGCUAAUGCCCUUUAUUUAUCUUCUGAAUAUAUUACAAGAGGUAAGAAGUAGAGAGAAAGGAGAGAUAGAGAGGAAAACUGAAAGAAAGCUUCUAAAAGCUUAUGCCUCUCUACUAAGGAUGAGGCAGCUAUAUAAAGAAAAGAAAAGGAAUCUACGCACAGUGUUAUGGGCCCUACAGUGGGUCCUUGUGCAUAGUGUUUUUACUAUUACAGCAUAUAAAACAGACAUAGUAAAGUGUUUAAUAAAUUUAAUUGCUAGGGCCAUCUUCUUUGUCUUUUCCUUUUUUAGCUUCCGGAGAAAUGCUUCUGUUUUUUCAACAAUAUCUUCGUCGGUGAGAAUAUGUUGUGGAGGUAAAGGUUGUGAGUCUAUAAUGUCUUCUGUUUCUACCUCUUUACUUCUCAUAGAAGUAUCAGAAUUUUAUUCUACAGAUUGGAGUAAUUUAUUCCAAACUUCUGUCAAAUAUUUCUCUAUCAUUUCUAUCUUGUCACCCUCAUGUGUAGAGAUUCAUCUAGAGAUAUAAUUUAAUCUUUUUUCUUCAAAUAUGAUUGACUUUUGAGGGGUAUUUUCAUAUUCGACAAUUUUCAUGAUAAUGAUUUCUCUUUGGUCCUUAUCAUAAGGAAUUUUUGUAAUCGAAUCAAGACGAGUUAAUUUGUCCCAGAAAUUACAAUAGAAUACCUUAUAUAGGGCAGGAAUUUGCUAAUUGGUAUAUCCUAUUUCAACAGGCCACCUGUGAAUCUAGGGAAUAGAAAAUUCUAAAAAGAAAUACAUCUGAUCAAUAGUGUCUAAUUUACAAACUUGGUCAGAAAGAUAUAAUUCGGUUAAGAAUGACGAGGCUUUUUUCCAAGAUUGAUAAAGAGUAGAAUAUUCUGGCGGUAGAAUUUUUACUGUGGGGCCAUGGUAAGACCACCAUUGAAUAAACCAAUCUGGGAUGCAUUUUUCAAAUACUUUUGCACAUACUUUCACGAACGAAGGAUGUUUGUGUUUGAUGUUGUUAUAAUAUAACAUUUGUGUGAAUGCCUUGAUAUAAUCCCAAUACAUAAAAGUUAUUUGCGAUUGUCCCAUUGGUCCCAUUGGCAUAGUUUUUUGAGUCAUGGAGGUAAUUCCCCAUUCUUCUAUGGAAAUAAACUUUUUGAUGAUCAUUUUGGAGUAUCCAUGUACUCCUGGGGUAGUUUCUCCCAUUAAGGUAUGCUCAAUAUCAGUACUGCCAGUUUGAACAAGAAUUGAUUCAUAAAAAGUUCUUGUUUUGUAUGAUUCUCCUGCAAAGUAGACAUUAGUGAGAAAGUAUUUUUGAAGUAAUUUCCAUGCUUCAUCGGGGCUAUCUUGCUUAGGUAUAUGAGAGUUUUCAAUAAGAAGUAUCAAUUCUCUAGCUUUGAGUUUUUCGUAUGUUGGCUUAUCUGCAGUGUUUUCUUGGAUUAUUGAAGCAAAUGAUUCUGCUUGCUGAUCAGAAAUAUAAGAUUUAAUUUGUUUAUAUAAUGGAUGAUCCUCUGGAAUAUCUUCUAGAUGGAUCGAUAUGCUAAUAGGCUAAGUUUUCGAUGAUUCUGCCAUAUUCAGAAUUUUUGCAUUAAUCAAAGUUCUGCUUCCCUAUUGUAAUACUUGGAAAUUCGAACUUGCUGAGCUAUAUGUUGAGUUAUUUCCGUUUCCAUAUGAAGGAUUCUAUCUUCCUCCAUAAUAAGAAGUAGAAUUGUGAUUUCGACCACCUCUUCCGCGUCCUCUGGCUAUUUGCCAGGGUGGAUCCAUACUAAACCAAUAAUCAGGAAUUGGAUCAGCAUACCAUAAUAUAUAUUCGAACAGAUCUUUAUAAAGUGUGUCCUUUAUGAUAAGAUUAUCAAUGACCUUUCGUAAUAUAAGCAUAGGCAUAUCCGCAUUUAAAGGAGUUGCCUUUAUAAAAGUGAUUAAGAAUUUUUGAGAGAAGAAGUACAGAAAGAGCUUCAUUAUUCCUUUUAAUCCUGUAAAUAUUAAUCACUUAAGUCAACAUCAAACCAAUAAAUAUCAUUAUCAAGAAAUUCAUCGUGGGUAAGUAAUAAUUCUUCUUCUAUUAUACCACAAAUAAGUUUUUCUAAGAUAAGAAAAUGAAUAUAUUCGUUUAAAGGAAUGCAUUUGAUAAUAGUAAUUAUGAUUUUUUCAGAGAGGAAGUACGUGUAAAAAUUCAUGUUAAUCGAUUAAAUAUUCUCGAGAUAGAAAAUCUGGCAAAGAAUUUUCACUACCCUUCUUAUAUUGUAUUUCGAAAUCAAAAGGGGGCUAAUUGAGCUUGCCAUCUUGCAAAUAUUAAUUUAGAGGCAUCAUGUUUAAAGUCUUUGUCGAACAUGUAUUUUACAGAUUGAGCAUCAGUCCUAACCAUAAAUUUGUGAUCAUAUAAAUCAUCUUGAAAUUUUAAUACACAUUUUACAAUAGUAAGCAUUUCAUGAGCACCGUAGCAUAUUUUUUCUGAAUUUCAGACCAUUUAUCAGAAUGAAAUCUAACUAAACAUUCAGUGUUUGUAUGGGGAUUAAUUUUUUUAAGUAUUCCUCCAUAACCAAUAUUUAAAGCGUCAAUUUCAAUUAUUUUUAACCAUGCUGGAUUAGCUAAGGUUAAACAUGGAAGAGUUUGAACUCAUUUUCUGAUUAUUUUAACCAAAUCAGUGUGAACUUGAGUCCAGGGUGUUUUAUUACCCUUUUUCAGUCUAUUAUAUAAAGGAGCUAAAUUUUUGGACAAAUUUUUAUAAAAAGGAGAGAUGUAAUUAAGACUACCAAGAAAUCUUUGUAACUGAGUUUUAUCAGUAAUUACAGCCUAAAACUUUUUAGCAAAAUCUAAAGUUCUUUGUAUGGGCUCAAUAGUACCUUGGUUAAUAUUAUGACCUAGAAAUCUAACAUUUGUCUGAAACAAGGACAUUUUUGGUUUAGAAAUAACCAAACCAUUUUGCAAUACUAUUUGUUUGAAUAUAUUUAAGUGUUUAAAAUGUAAUUCAAGGGUUUUUGAGAACAUAAGAAUAUCAUCAAUAUAAACAAUUAUAAAAUCCAUAUAAGGAUUAAAUAUGUCGUUCAUAAUUUUUUAAAAUUCAGAAGGAGAAUUUUUUCAAACCAAAUGGCAUAACAUUCCAUUCAUAUUUCCCAAAAGGGACGUUAAAAACAGUUCUAUAAGUAUGGUUUUUAUCAAUUUGAAUUUGCCAAUAACCCGAUUUAAGGUCAAAUUUUGAAAAUAUGUUGGCAUCAUAAAGUCUAGAAAGCAAGUCCUUUUUAUUAGGUAUUGGGUACCUUAUCCAUUUUAAAACUUUAUUCAGGGGUUUAUAAUUAAUGACUAAUCUAGGCAUACCACGUUCUUGCUCAGCAACAUUAUUAACAUAGAAGGCAGUACAAGACCAAGGGGAUUUUGAAGAUUUUAUAAGACCCUUUUGUAGGAGACUAUCAUUCUUUUUUUUUUAUAGAAUUCUAUUAACUCUGUAUUCAUCUGGCAGGGUCGAGAUUUAGUGGGUAUUUUGUCCUUAUUGAAACCAUCUACAUAAGGAAGAUAAACAAUAUGUUUCUGGCGAUCCCAGAAGGCAUUUGGGUGAUCAACACAAAUAUCAAUAGUUAAUUGAUCUGAAAUCAUUUUUAUUUUUUCUUGGACUUUUACAGACUUCAUUGAUUCAUGAAUAUUCAUACUUAUUAUUUCUAAUUGUAAGAAAUUUACUUGCCUUUGCUUCAUACUAAUAUAAGCAUUUAUAUCUCUUGUUAUAGGAUCAGUAACAAAAGGAUAAGAGAUUUCUUUAUUUUUAUAGGUAGCCUUAAAUCCAGUCGCAUCGAUAUGCGUAUAGGGAUAAAUAGCAUUUAUAAAAGGUGUUCCUAAAAUAAUAGGAGUAUAUAACCAUUUUUUAUCAAAAAAAAAAAAAGAAAUGCAGAAUGCAAGCCUUAUUUCGACAUAUAUGAGUAUUAGGCAAUUUAAAGUUAAUAUCAAGUUUAUGACCAAAUGCAGACUUAAUUAUGUGAGUAUUUUUUUCAAAAUAUCUGGUUGGAAUUAAACCUUCCUGAAUGUAGCUGACAUGAACACCACUAUCAAUCAUAGCUAUAUUAGUGAUAAAAUUUUUUUUAUUAAUUAAAAUAGUGCAAUUUAUAUACCAUUUAUGAGUAGUAACUAAUUGCAUCAUACCUAAGAAAUAAUCCCUUUUCAAAUCAUCUUCUGGACUGAGUUUAUCAUCAUCAGAAUUUGCCGAGUUUUCAAAAUCUUUUCCUUUUCCUUUUGAAGUAGAAGAAAUAGUAUUUUCUGAAAUGUCAGGAAGUUUUUCUUCAAUUUUCAAAAUCCUAUGAUCGGAGAUCAUCUGUUUUUGUUUUAAAGAACUAAUUUCCUUUUUUAAUUUUUCAACUUCUAUUUUUAAACUAUCAAAGGUUGUAUCUCUACCUGGAGUUUGACUCAACGCAAGACGUCGAUUUAUCUCAGAUAAAGAGUAAGACAUAUGAUAAUUAUCGUAAGUAGUAUCUUUAGAAGUACUAGCAGUAUUAGUAGAAGUAUUUUGAGUAGCAAAAUUAAUGAUCUUUUCACGUAGUUUUUCAUCAGUAAUAUCCUUUAAUAAUUCAAGGACAUUAUCAGCAGUAAGAGUUUGAUUAUUUAAAUCAAGAUCUUUGAAUUACGCUUGCAGUUUAUACAUCAUCUCAUCACAAUUACAAGUAUCAUUAUUACAGUCAUUGCAUUUAUUAACCUGAUCUGGUUCACUACCAGAACUAGGUAGUUCAAUAUCAUUUUCAGAUGUAGAAUCACAAUUAUAAUCAGAUUCAGAACCAGAAGUAUAUAAUAAACCAUAGACUUGGUCAUGCACUUCAUCAGAAAGUCCUAAGAUUGAAUUUGUUUAUAUAAUGGAUGAUUCUCUGGAAUAUCUUCUAGAUGGAUCGAUGUGCCAAUAGGCUGAGUUUUCGAUGAUUCCGCCAUAUUAUUAUUAUUAUUAUUAUUAUUAUUAUUAUCAUCAUCAUUAUUAUUAUCAUUGUCAUUAUUAUUAUUAUAAUCAUUGUCAUUAUUAUUAUUAUUAUCAUUGUCAUUAUAUUAUCAUUGUCAUUAUUAUUAUUAUUAUCAUUGUCAUUAUUAUUAUUAUUAUUAUCAUUGUCAUUAUUAUUAUUAUAAAUGAAAUAAGAUGGACUUUAUGUUAAUCUUUUUUGAACACAAGCCUUUUCAUAUUAAAAUAACUUUUUGUAUGUUCUAACUUAUAAUUGACCUCAUUUAGGUUGAAGUGAGUUUUCUCAAGCAAUAAAAGAAACGGGCUUUCUUAAAGUAAAAGUUUAAACUCUUCCAUCGAUUAAAUAUUUCUUACUUAAUAGUUCCUCUUAAAUUCCAUUAUUGUUAGGAUUUUAAAUUAGCAUUGACCAUAAAAGUAGAUUUUUCUAAAAAAAAAAAAAAUGAUAAUUUCCCUUAAAAUGAAAUGAAUUAUUAUUUUCAUUAAAGUUAUAUUGUUAAAAAAUGAACUUUUGUUUGAAAUUUUCUUUAGCCUAAAAACUUGACGAAAUAAAAUGAUUUUCAAAAUCGCUCGAUUCAAGUUUGAUAUUUUAUAUAAAAGUAGACAUUUUCACGAAGUUAACCUUUUAAGUUAGUCUAAAUAUUUUGGUCAACCAUUUUAAAAUGGACGUUUGUAAGUGCCUUAAAACCCUUCUUAGGACGUUAAUUGAAUCCUUACCCAUUUUCUCUAAUUUCAAAGGUUUAUUUUUGUUUUUGAACCAUUAGAAUUCACUUAAGUUUUCUUGUUUUUUCUAUAAAAAUUAAGUGUCGACUCUGUAAUCUUUCUUAAAUUAUUUUGAUAUUUUUCUAAUUUUUUUUAAAUAAUUUGAGAAGUGGAAAAUCAUUUUCUUACAAAUAAUUUGUCUUCCUUUUGAUAAAUUCAAAAAGGGGUAAAACACUCAUACUCAGAGUAGAAAACUUAGCCACACACACUGGUCAGGCUACGAUUUGGGUCUAACGACUCGUCAUGACUCCCUACGAGUCGUAGGGUAAGUCGUAGUGGGGAUAGUGAGGACAAAAUUUCAAAAAUUCCUCAAAGAUCAACACUUGGGGUGUUUCAUUCUCCCCCCUUAGGAUCAUUCGCCCCCGAGUGAUAGGUCAAGGAAUCCCUUAACACAACUUAACACAUAAACACACCCACACUUACCUUUUUGCAAUACCCCGUACUUUUACCUAGCUUGAAAUCGUCCUAAGAAUGUAAGAAACUUACUUUGAAAUAUGAAUCCACUUUUAUACACGUGAAAUUUCUAAGAUUUUUAUUUUUUAUCAUGUGAAAAAUUGAAUUAGCUUUCCAACGAUACCAAUUUCAUUCAAAUUCGGUAUCGGAGUAAGAAGUUAUGGACAUUUUACUCAGACCUGUCAGAAUUACCCAGGUCGAUGGCCAGGUUGAUAGACCGUCGAUCUAGUGACGGACCGUCGCCUAGACCGUCACAGCCAAGGCAAUGAUUCAACCUUCUAGAUAAGGUGCAACAGACUGGUUGACGGACCGUCGAACUUGCGACGGACCGUCGCUAUAAGGCAGUGAGUCUUUUUUUUAAUCUACGUACAAUGGUUGAAAUGACGGACCGUCGAGCCAGUGAUGGACCAUCGGACGAGCUGCCGUAGGUCCUAUUUAGCAAAUUUUGAGUCAUUUUUAAAGGGUAUUUGCAUAUGUUUUUCCACCUGUUUUAAUCCAUAAUUAUAUCAGACCAAGGUUCAUAAGUUCAUUAUUCAUUCAUAACAUCAAAUUAGCAUUUCUCUCCAAGAUCUAUCCUCAAGAACAAAAAAACCCUAGGUGUUUAAGUCCAAGUCAAGAAUUUAAGUUUUCCUCCAUCAAUCUUCAAGAAAUCACAACCCAGGUAUGUCAUGUGUUGAUUCAUGGGUCUCUUUCACCCAUGAAGCUCAAGAAUCUCUUUUAAAAUCCAAGAUUUGGGUAUUUGUGAAUGUUCAUGACUUAAAUUGAAUUAAAAUUCAUGUCCAUGAUGCUGUGUGAUUUUAAUUCAUGUUUUAAAUUACAUAUUCCAAUGAUUGACCCUAGUAUGUGAUGAUUUGCAUAAUAACCAUGAUAAAACCACUUCAAAUUAUAAGUUGAUUGAUAUAUUCAUGAUUAUUAGAUGUGUUGAUGAUUUUAUAACCAAAGCAUGCCUCCCAUGUGUUUGAUUAAAUACCUAUGUGAAAGAAAAGUGUCAUACUAGUAUGAUAAUAUGAAAUCCCCAUUCAUGUACAAGUUGAUGCAUGUCAAGUGUUUGAUGAAAUGUCUUACUCAAUGAAUUAUGGAUUGUUAAUGUUAGUCAUGUAUUCAAGAAUGUCAUGCUUUGUCAGUUUCUUUCCAUGGAGUCCUGGGGGUACUUGUACCCAGAAAUUAUAGUUGUGUGCCUAGAGUUUGUAUCAUGUUUUCACGAUAUCCUCAGUCAAGCCAUGAUCCAUAGAACUUAGUCAGUCAUAUGACUCAGGAAAUCUCAGUAAUACAAUAAUCUCAGUACUAUUCCAUCAGUCAACGGAACUCAGUUAAUUCAGUUAAUUCAGUUCAGUAAUCCAUAUUCAGUGUCUAUUCAGAUGGGAGUAGGAAUUAACACCAAGUGAACCCAGGGAUGGGAACUCACCUGUUAUAUGAGGGUGUGAUUCUUAGAAGCAAUCCUUGCAUUCUAGAACAACGUAGCCAACGUAGGUUGAGACAUCAUAGCCUGCUAUAUGAGGGUAGAUGAGGUGGAUUAACUUGUUAUGUGAGGGUUCUCACCGUUCUCACUAGAGUUACCUGUUAUAUGAGUUACUUACAGAUUGUCCUUACCAGUGGUGCGGUAUUGACACCCUUUCAAUUAGGGUUACAGAUUAGAUCCCAACUCAGCUAUAAUGCAUUAUUUGGGGCAUGUCGGUUAGAUAACUACUUUCCAUAGUUUUAGCUAUAAAAAUUAGGACUGUCAGAUACAGUCAUUCAGUUUCAGUAAUAGAACUCAGAUAGUUCUAUAGAAUUCAAGACUGUCAGAUACAGUUAACUCAAAACAGUACGAAACUCAGCUAGUUCUAUUAGAAACUAGACUGUCAGAUACAGUCGCUUAGUAUCAGUUAUUUCAAUUAUACAGUUAUCAGUAUCUCAUGUUAUCAGUACUCAGAUUCAGUAAUCAUGUUAUCAUGAACACAAUUACAGUUAUUAUGUAUUCAUGUAUGUAAUUCUCACGUUCAUGUUAUCAAGUCAGUUAGUAUAGUUCAUGCAUGUAAACCUUUUGCAUUUAGCCUACCUUCCAUGCAUACCAGUACAUUCAAAGUACUGACGCAUUUGUGCUAUGGUGUUUUAUACCAUAGGUUCAGAAGUACGAGCUCCAGAGCAUCAGUUGCAUUUUAGUCUCAGCAGUCAAAGAUAGCAAUGAGUCCUCAUCCUUUGAGGAUAUGACCAUUUCUUUAUUAUCUCGUUAAUUAAUUUAUUAGUUGGAGUUAGUUGGGGACAUAUCCCAUCAACUCCUUAUUUAGACAGUUCAGUCAGUUAGAGGCUUUUCAGACUAUCAUGUUUAGAUAAUUAUUUCAGUGUUAGGAUAUUUCAUAACCCAUCCAUAUGUUAUGAUUUAUCAGUUAUGUUUCAGUUUUGAACCUUAAGACCUUUCAUGCCAUGUUUUCGCAUUUAUAUAGUAUAUUAUGCAGUGUUUAGGUACAAAUAUCAAUCAUGGGUUAGCUUGUGGUCCUUUGAGGUCAAAAAAAAAGCAUUCCGGGUACCAGAUUCAAAACGUUACAAACUUGGUAUCAGAGCCUAAGGUUCAAUAGUGUCCUAGGAUAUUUGAAAAACCGCAUCUAGUAAAGUCUUGUGCAUGGGUGUGUUGCACGUCACAUUUAUGUACAUGAGGCUAUAUGAUGUUUUAAGAAUAGUUUCCCUUCUUUCAAUAUUCAUGUCGUGCCAGUAAGCAUUAGCUCAAAUCUAAAUCUCUGUCUAAUCUAUUUCUCCCUUUCUUUUAUAGAUUAUGCCUCCCAAAAGGGCUAACGAAAGGAGAAUCGAGAAUUAGUCAGCACCACAGCCCAUCCAGAAAGAUUCCCUAGACGAGCAUAUCAUUCAUGGUGAAUUUAGAAUCGACUUCCUUACUUUAUCUUACUCAAUAGUAGCUUAAACAAAAUCAACAAGCUAUUAUCCUACCUAGGUAUAUGAUUCAUGCUCGGUAGAGUGAGGUGGGGAAACGUAGGGAGAAAGAAAGAAAAAGAGAAAAUAAGAGAGCUAGAACAGGUAGCUUUAAUUUCAUUUAGCCUAAGUCAGAGGGUAGGAAUUGUUCUCAUUUCCACCCAAAUUCCUUAGUUCCAACUCCAUCCCCAGUCAGUGUCCCAGCACUUAAGUUCAGAAACGGUAACAGUGAUAGGGUGCCAGGCUCUAAGUCUCAGGGCAGUGUAGCAUUUUCCUGAACUAAUCCUCUUUGCCAGACUUAUGGUAAAAACCACAAGGGUAUUUGCAGAGCUGACAGUGAGGUGUGUUUUAGAAGUGGAAAGCCCAGACACAAAGUUAGAGAUUAUCCCUAGUCAGGAUUUUAGGGUCAGCAGAACCGUUCCUCAGUUCAGUCCGAUCGCCCGAAUCAGCAGGGUGCCACUUCCAGCGUAACCAGUGGGCAGCGCCCAAACUGACUCUAUGCUCUUCAGUUUGGAAAAGAUCAGGAAAAUUCUUCUGAUGUGGUCACUGGUACAUUAAAGAUCUUUCAUUUGCAUGUUUAUGCUUUGCUAGAUCCAGGAUUUUUUUUUGUCUUUGGUUACUCCUUAUAUAGCAGUUGAUUUUGAAGUUAGUCCCUAAAUUCUAGCAGAGCCCUUCUUAGUCUCUACCUCAGUGGGUAAAUCCAUCAUAGCCGGACGGGUAUACAGAAACUGUUCGGUGAUGGUAUCUCAGAAGGCCACUUAAGCAGACUUAGUCAAAUUAGAGACGACUAAUUUUGAUGUCAUUAUCAGCAUAGAGUGGCUUCAUUCCUACCAUGCUACAGUCGAUUAUAGAAAUAGAGUUUUCCAGUUUUAGUUCUAAAUGGACCUGUCCUUGAGUGGAAGGGUAGUAUUUCAGCAUUCAGAGGUCUGCUUGUUUUCUACCUACGAGCUAGGAAAAUAAUAUCUAAGGGAUGUGUCUAUAUCUUGUUUGAGUUAAGGACUCUAGUUUCGAAACUCCUAAUCUUGAGUCAGUUUAAGUUGAGAGUGAAUAUUCAGAUAUCUUUUCUGAAGAUCUUCUCAGAGUUCUUUCGUAGAGGGAAAUAAACUUCAGCUUUGACCUUUUUUCAGAUACUUAGCCCAUAUCUAUUCCACUGUAUAGAAUGACAUCAAUAGGACUCAGCGAAUGUGAUAUUCUGAAAAUAGCUUUCAGAACUUGGUAUGGUCAUUUCGAAUUCUUAGUCAUGUCCUUUGGUCUUACCAAUGCCCAAUAGCUUUCAUGGACUCGAUGAACCGUGUAUUCAAUUAGUACCUGGACAUAUUCAUCAUAGUCUUCAUAGAUGACAUUCUUGUCUACUCUCGCUGUGAGCAUAAUCAUGCAGACCAUCUCAGAAAAAUAUUACAGACCCUCAAAACCCAUCAGUUAUUAUGAUAUAUAUUCAUGUCCUAUUUAUCAGCUCUAUGAUCAUCGCUCAUAUUCAUGCAUAUUAUUGAGAAUCGUGUAUUCUUACAAUUCCUAGUAUAAAGAGUUCCAGUUUACCCCGUGUUACGAAUCAUGUCCCAUGAGUUCAAAGACUUCAAAAUCAAGUAAUGCAGCUCAUGACUCAUGCACUCAUGUUAUGCUUUAUAGUAUGCUCAGCCCAGAUGACUCAUGCUCCACUUCAAAUGAUCAGCCAAACUUAAAUUAUGUCAUGUAUACCCUCAGUUUAGAUCCCUCGGUGAAAUCUAUGGUGUUGAUUCUCUAUCCCUCAUGCCUCAGUUACAGUGUCAAUUCAGUAAUCAAUAUUCAGUAAAGGACUCAGAUAGUCCUGUAGAACCAUGGCUUUCAGCUAUCAGUUACUUAGCCAUCAGAAUUCAGUAUCAGUCUAAACCUCAGUUUUUGGUAUUCGGCUAUAAGAACCCAAUAUUUAGUUCCAGUAUAAGUCUAGUUGCAGUCUUAGUUGUAGUAUCAGCACCAUUUCAGUAAUCAGAUCAGAAACUCAGUUCAGAUCCAGGUUUGCUUGACCAUAGCAUAUGGUUAUUAGCUAUUCAGUUAUUAGUAUUUCAGAACCUCAGUUUACAGAAUGUUUCCGAAUCAUAUUAUACGCUUGGUUUUGCAUCCUUAAGAUAAUACAAUUUUUACUCAUAUAUGCUCUGUUAUCUCAUAUUACUCAGUCAAUCAUUACCUUUUAUGCAUAAUGCUCUAUAGUUUCAGUUCAGUUAUUCAAACUAAGUACAGUUUAGUCUUACCUGCCCAGUAUUCAGCUAUCAUCCAUGUAGUUAAUCAGAUAAGUUAGUAUGUUUAUGCAUUCGUUCUCAGCACCUAUUCGAAUAUUUUCAGUAGUCUCAAGUGAUGUGCUGUACUAAGGCAGAGAGUAUAGUGGAAGAAGUAUUUGAGGGAUAUGUCUAAGCCUGAAAAUUUUUGAUACAGUGCAUAAGGCUUAGUCACUCUAUUUUAGAUGAUGUUUCAUAGGCAUUGCCUCCUAGUAUAAGAAUCCCAGCCAUAUGGUGAUCCCCUAAUCAGAUGUCCUGCUAGACCAGGCCAAGAUUUACUUUCUCCCUACAAUCACUAGAACACUAUAGAAAAAGUGUCAUAGAAAUACUCUAGUCGAGUAUAAGUUUUCAGUAUGAGUUAGUCCGCAAAGCCAUCAAUUUAGUUUAGUAUCCAUACAAAUAAGUUCGUAUAGUGUGGCUUCCCAUUUUCCAUCUAGUCGUACUAUCCGAAGUCUCAUGAAUAUAACUAUUCAAUGAUGGAUCAACCAGGUAGUUGCGUGUCCAUCUCGGUUCAUGUAUCAUUCCAUAGUUUUAGAAUCUAGAUAUUCAGUCACGAUUCAGUUCGUAGUUGCCUGGUGUAUUACCUCAGUUUCCUCAUAGCUAAAAAAAAGGGAAAAUCAACCCAACAUUCUUCAAGGGACAUAGUGUCCAAGGGGGAGAUACAUUGUAAUCUCCUGAACUUUUAUGACAUAAACAUGCCACUCUCUCUUCGCGUAAUGAACCUAUUUUAAAGUAGUGGGUACCCAUAGGUUGACCCUCUAUCUCCAAUCUCAAUUGUAAGCCAUGUAUUUAAUGGCUCAGUUCAGUUAAGUUCAUGAUAGUCAAUCCAUGUCACAUGUUACAGACUUAGUCAUGUUCUUAUAUUUCUGUUCAUGUGUGUUCAGUAAAGGAUCUCGAGCUAAGAUCAAAUAAAAUUUAGUAUUUUGAAAAUCUCUCCUAUGAAGGGAGUGAAGAGAUUUGGCAAGAAGGGAAACUCAAUCACCGAUAUAUCGAUCCCUUCAAAUUUCUCAGUCGCUUAGGUAAAGUAGCUUAUGAGCUUGAAUUGCCUUCAGAUCUAGCUUUAGUUCAUCCAGUCUUUUAUGUCCCCUUGCUAAAGAAGUACAUAGGUGAUCCAGCAGUUGUAGUCCCAGUUGAGGGCGUAGAUAUUCAGAACUAUCUCUCGUAUGAAAAAUUCCAGUUGAAACUCUUGACUAUCAGACUCCUAGACCGAGGAACAAAGAAGUCCCUUUAGUCAAAGUUCUUGGGCGAAAUCAGUCCGUUGAGAGAGCUACUUGGGAAGCAGAAGCAAACAUGCGUACCAAGUUUCCUCACCUCUUCUCUGCCAACUCAGAUCAAGCUCAAGGUAACAGUUCUCAUUAAGCUUUUCAGUUUCAUAUUCAGAUUUCAGUUACAAGAUUAGCAUCCAUGUCAUGUUCAAAAUUCCAUUAUAAACUUGGUGUUAAAUACCAUUGCAUAUUCAGUCAUGUAUUCAUAUGUCAGUUCAGUUAUAUAAUCAUGCAUCAGAUAUGUAUUCUUAUUGUGAGAACCUUAGUUCAUCAGAACACUCAGUCAUGCAUUCAUGAAUCAGUUACACAUGCAUUAGAUAUGCAUGUUCAGUAUGAUAUAUUCAGUUAUCAGUUAUGUCAGUCAUGAGAUCAUGUUCCAGUCAUUCAUGCUCAAUAUGUACAUUAUUUUAUCUUCUCCCCUAUUACUCAAUCUCAUUCGAGGACGAAUGUUCUUAAGGGGGAGAUAUUGUAAUACCCUGUACUUCUACCUAGCUUGAAAUCGUUCUAAGAAUGUUAGAAACUUACUUUGAAAUAUGAAUACAUUUUUGUACAUGUGGAAUUUUUAAGAUUUUCACUUUUAAUCAUGUGGGAAAUUGAAUUAGCUUUCCAACGAUAUCAAUUUCGUCCAAAUCUGUUAUCGGAGUAAGAAGUUAUAGAAGUUUUAUUCAGAGCUGUCAGAAUUGCCCAGGUGCGAUAGUCAGGUUGUCGGACUGUCGAUCUAGAGAUGGACCGUCGCCUAGACCGUUGCAGCCAAGGCAGUGAGUCAACCUUCUGGAUAAGGUGCGAUGGACAGGUUGACGGAUUGUCAAACUUGUGAUGGACCAUCGCCUAAGUCAUCGCUAUAAGGCAAUGAGUCUUUUUUUUGGUCCUCGUACGAUGGUCAAAAUGAUGGACCAUCGAGCCAGAGAUGGACCAUCACACAAGCCAUCGCAGGUUCUUUUCAUUGAAUUUUAAGUCAUUUUUAAAGGGUAUUUGUUUUUUCUUCACCCGUUUUAACCCCUGAUUAUCUCAUACCAAGGCUCAUAAGUUCAUUAUUCAUUCAAAAUAUCAAAUUAGGGUUUCUCUCCAAGAUCUAUCCUCAAGAACAAGAAAACCCUAGGUGUUUAAUUCCAAGUCAAGAAUUCAAGUUUUACUCCACCAAUCUUCAAGAUAUCACAACCUAGAUAUGCCAUGUGUUGAUUCAUGGGUUCUUCCACCCACGAAGCUCAAUAAUCUCUUUUAAAAUCCAAGAUUUGGGUAUUUGUGAAUGUUCAUGAUUUAAAUUGAAUUUAAAUUCAUGUCCAUCAUUCUGUGUGUUUUUGAUUCAUGUUUUAAAUUACAUAUUCCAAUGAUUGACCCUAGUAUGUGAUGAUUUGCAUAAUAACCAUGAUAAACCCCCUUCAAAUUAUAAGUUGAUUGAUGUAUCCAUGAUUAUUAGAUGUGUUGAUGAUUUUAUAACCAAAGCAUGCUUCCCAUGUGUUUGAUUAAAUGCCUAUGUGAAAGAAAAGUGCAACACUAGCAUGAAAAUAUGAAAUCCCCAUUCCUGUACAAGUUUAUGCAUCUCAAAUGUUUGAUGAAAUGUCUUACUAAAUGAAUUAUAGAUUGUUGAUGUUAGUCAUGUAUUCAAGAAAGUCAUUCUUUGUCAGUUUUUUUCCAUGGAUUCCUGAGGGUACUUGUACGCAAAAAAUAUAGCUGUGUGCCUAGAGUCGGUAUCAUGUUUUCAUGAUAUCCUCAAUCAAGACAUGAUCUAUAGAACUCAGUCAGUCAUGUGACUCAGGAAAUCUCAGUAAUACAGUAAUCUCAAUACUAUUCCGUCAGUCAACAGAACUCAGUUAAUUCAGUUAAUUCAGUCAGUAAUCCAUGUUCAAUGUCUAUUCAGAUGGGAGUAGGAAUUAACACCGAGUGAACCUAAGGAUGGAAACUCACCUGUUCUAUGAUGGUGUAAUUCUUAGAAGCAAUCCUUACUUUUCAGAACUACACAGCCAGCGUAGGUUGAGACAUUAUAACUUGCUAUAUGAGGGUAGAUGAGGUGGCUUAACCUAUUAUGUGAGGGUUUCUACCAUUCUCACUAGAGUUACAUAUUAUAUGAGGGUUACUCACAGAUUGUCCUUACCAGUGGCGCGGUAUUGACACCCUUCUAAUUGGGGUUACAGAUUGGACCCCAACUGAGCUAUAAUGUGUUAUUUAGGCCGUGUCAGUUAGAUAACUACUUCCCACAGUUUCAGCUACAGAAAUCAGGACUGUUAGAUAUAGUCAUUCAUUUUUAGUAAUAGAACUCAGAUAGUUCUACAGAAUUCAGGAAUGUCAGAUAUAGUUAACUCAGAAUAGUACUAAACUCAGCUAGUUCUAUCAGAAACUAGACUGUCAGAUACAGUCACUCAGUAUUAGUUAUUUCAAUUAUACAAUUAUCAGUAUCUCAUGUUAUCAGUACUCAGAUUCAGUAAUCAUGUUAUCAUGAACUCAGUUAUAGUUAUUAUGUAUUCAUGCAUGUAUUCUUACGUCUAUAUUGUCCAGUCAGUUAGUAUAGUUCAGGCAUGUGAACCCUUUGCAUUCAGCCUACCUUCCAUGCAUACCAGCACAUUCAAAGUACUGAUGCAUUUAUGCUAUGGUGUUUUAUACCAUAGGAUCAGAAGUACGAGCUCCAGAGUAUCAGUAGCAUUUCAGUCUCAGCAGUCAGAGAUUGC